rnacentral:lncRNA from 1 species
UUUUUUUUUUUUUUUUUUUGGUUAUUUUUGAGAAAGCGUAGAAUAGAAUUUGGGGUCCAACAUAUUCCCAUGGGAUAGUUUCUUGAUUUAUAUUUGCUCUUUCCAAAAACAUCUUGUUCUCUAGCUGCCUUUAGUCUUUCUUAAUUCUUACUUCUCCAGGAACCAAUUUGUUCCUUUACUUCCUUCUCUACCUUAACGUUUAUGGAAAUGAUCCGUUAUUUACCAAAAGUGAGAGUUUGAGGAAACCCAAUAUUGACCGAAACCCAUACCUUUUUGUUCUCAAAAUAAAUCCCUUAAGUUCAACUUUCACCAUCCCUUUGAUAUUUUAAUACCUUCAGAAGACGUCAGAACUUUAGUUUCUUUUUUUGUUAUUUCUUAUCAUGGAAGCUCAGAUGAUUUAGUUUUUUUUUGCUCAAUCACCACUAGCUCAACUCUGCAGCCUUUUUUUCUCUGUCUCCCCAAACUCUGCAGUCUUAUUAAAUCGUAUAGUAAUAAUUAAACAUGGGGGGGUCGGUAACUUGAUCAAGAAUUAGGCAUAACCCUUCCAAUCGGAGGCCUUAAGUAGUUUUCUUGUCUUUAAUAAUGGUGUUCUUGUAUUAAUGCUGGCCUUGGUUUGAAGCUACGUGCAUCAGCUGAUCGGCAUAGGAGUUCGAAUUGCACGAAAGUCAACAUUGUCAGCUGCGUUCCCUGCCCUACCACACUGAAAGGAGGGCAGGUUUUGGGGGUCUAAGAUGUCACUAGCAAGGGAGACACCUGAUGCUCUCUCCUUUUUUUUUUUUUUUUUUGGGGUAAUUCUGCCAAAAAUUCUGUGAUAUGGUUUGAGGCCUCUGGGCAUGUAUUGUGGAUUCGGCAGACCUUCCAAAACCCCUGCGCAUGCAUGCACGCGCACGUAGGAGUGGUCACCAUGCAGAUGGUAGCAUGUAAUUAAACAACCUUGCCUAAGCAAUUAGACAUGAAGCUUGAGCCUAAAAGUGGUCCAAUCAGUCUAAUUAGUACGAGAAUUUUUCAUUGAGUGAAUCCGUUUAAUAAGAUUAGCUCCUUCAAUUCACAAUUUCUAGUCAACCGAAGGAGUUAACCACAGCAUGCAUUUUGAUUUUAACAACACAUAGAGGUCAUAAGAUGCUUAAUAUAUAUACAUCCAAGAUGAGAAAUGUAAUGAAGUGUGGCAGAUACUACUAUUAGGAGAUAAAGUGACUGAGGUAAGGUAAGCGACUGAUGUUUUCCCUAAAUCCAGUUGAAUCCAGUCCUCACCGGUCCUCUUAGAUCCAGUUGGGUCUUUCCUUCUAUUAGAAUAGUAUAUGAUAUUAUAGAUAAAAAUGAUGAUUGAUAAAAAAAGGGGGGGGGAAUAAACGAUUGAUGUGGCUACACGAAGAAGAAACAAGGAAGAAAAGUAGCACGGGGUGGUAAAUAGUGAACCAUUAGAAAUUAGUGCAUGGUAGGUGAGAGUAAUAAUGGUGGAAAUUAUGAUUGUGGCUGCAAAGGGGUAGGAAGAAGCUCGGGCGAUGGAUAGUGUGAUUUCUGGGUUGUGGCAUAAGCAUCAUGCAUGGAUGUAGCUAGCCCCAGUCACGCAUACUCUACACACUCACCUUCACAGUUGUGCGGGACAUGCAUAUUUGGCUCUACUGUUCGAUCCAUGACUAAUUGUGUAUUAUUAAGCCUUUGUUUACUUCUACAUUUUGCUGGCAAUGGAAACCUGUUGAAGUUGUAGUAAGUGGUAUUUAGUGGGCAAAAGAAUAGUGCUCGUCGGUGAUAAUUUGUCAAUACGUUCUUAUGCAAUCUGAAAUUAUCUGAAGUCUGAACGUCAAGGCAAUCGAAAAACCCGAAAGGAACUUAUUCCUCCUCCAGGCACCUAGAUUUAUUUCCUUUUGCCAAGAAAACAAACACUACUAUGACAUAUUGUAGUUGAUACAUGUCUUUUAGAUACUGAGAAGUUAACAAAACAUCAUUUUCGAGCUGGAGCUUUAAAAAGAACAAUAAUGUUUAUUAGCGUAUACGUCAAAAGAGCAUUCAAGCAAGCUAUGAAAAGUAAUUCAGAUUAAUAAUUUACAUUGGCUAUGAAGUUUCGCGUACAAAGAACAAACCAGUGUUGGUCGGCCUUAAAUUUUGAUCAAUUGGAACUACAGAUUAUCUUCCAUUCUGUUCUUGGUGGGUAUUUUGGACAGGGAUACCUACUUUUACCAAUCUUAAUAAAUCAUUAGCAGGCGCUAAUGAGAUAUCCAGCUAGGGAAAUAACACCACUUAUUAUUGCUUGAACAUUAAUCAAAGCCUAGAUUAUCCGUCAAAACCCAUUCUUUAUUAAAUGUUAGUACCAAAACUCAAUUGAUCAAAAUAUCAACCAAGAAAUCCAAACUCAAUUAGUAAGAAAUAUUCUAACUUGAUUCUUUAUCCUUUCUCUUCCCAAAUCUUCUUUUCCCUUGUAAAAAGAAAAAAAAAAUAUUUUUGCAUUAACCAAACAAAAUAAAUAAAUAAUACUCAACUGUUGUAAAGUACUACUGGAUUUUUUACUGCUAGAGAGUUCUAUGAUUUGGAUACUGUAUCGAUGAGAUUAAAUUCACCGUAAAAUAUAGAAUAAGAAUUAUUAAUUCUUAAAUUAUUUCAAGAAUUUAAAUCACUAAAUAAUAUUAAAAAAUAUGAGUGAAUUAAAGUCAUGUAUACCAUACCAAAAAGAAGCAGUAGUAUUUUCCUAUAUUACUAUGCAUCUCCAUCGGAAAAGGAAGUUAUACGAGUAGUAUACCUUUUCGAGUAUAGGGGAAAAAAAUAGAUAAAAAACCGAAAAGCAAGAACCGCCCAAUUCAAUUGAUCAAACAGAAAAAACAAAAACAUUCCACUGUAACAGUUCACCAUCAAAAUCUCUCUUUUCCCUGCCUUUCUCUCACUUUUCCAACAGAGCAAGUAACCAAUUGAUUUCUAUUCUACAUUGUAGCAUCAGUGCAUAUGAUCAUAUUCUAUCCAGUCCUUGCGCAAAAUCAUAUUUUGAGCUCUGUAGUAUUUCUCUGACACCAAACCUCUCUUUCAGUCCAAGAUUUCCUUUUUAAUCUUUUUUUUUUCUUUUCCAAUUUUUCUAACUUCACUCUGUCACUUCCCACUUCUUUGCCUUGCUUACCUUUGCUUUCAGGGCAAUUGUUGCAGACCAAAGAUUCAUACUUUCACUCUUAACUCAGCUUUAUCCCAUUAGUGUUGCCCCACAAAGAAAUCCCUUUUCUUUCUUUGGCCUUAUUUUCCAUUUUUCUUUAGUAUUCUUUAUUUUCUUAUCCUACCAGUGUAAGCUGAAUUCUUUGCUGACUGCGCCUUGUUUUCCUGUUUCUUGAAGAACCAACUUCUUCAUUUUCUUUAAAAUUUCUUGCUCAGUGUUAUUUUUGAUGGGUUCUUGGAGUUCUGGGGUUGUCUGAAUCAGCAACUGUUUCUUGAAGCUGUUAACGGACUUGGAGAAACAUGAGGAAUUUUGAAUUUCUUCAAGUCUUUUUACUGAGUCUAGGACUCAUUGCUGGGACUAAUUUGGCCUUUCCCUUAAACGAAGGUGUGGCUCGGCAUUACAGUUCUUAUUGUGUUCUUAGAUCUUGUAUUGUACUCUCUUUAAAAUUCAAGAAUUUGUGAGUAAAUUCAUUGUAAUGUUGUAUUAAUUAAGUUACCAAUCUUAAUGUAGGAUAUUAUUAGGCUUAAUUGCGAUAGUUGACUAUGGUUGCGAUUAUAUAACUAGAAGCGCCAUAGUCCACUGUUGAUGUAGAUUUUUCGGAUAGUGAAAUGGUGCUAUUUUCUGCAGUUUAUGCCCUCAAGACCUUUAAAGAAGCUAUAUAUGAGGAUCCACUUCUCGUUUUGUCAAAUUGGCAAGCAUUAGAUUCAGAUCCUUGUGACUGGCCCGGCAUUUCUUGCUCAAUGGCUCGAGAUCACGUCAUCAAGCUGUAAGAAUUCCUAUCUUCUUAUUUAGUUGUUCGAAGGAAACAUUUUGUCUACUUUAGUCCAAUUUUCAUGUUUUCGUGUGUGUCAUUGUUCCGUGUACCUAAUUGGAUGGCAGUUAAUUGUGCCAAUUUCUUGGUGCUAUUGAUAUGCUAUUUAAUUGGUGUAAAAGUUUUUAUUGUUAAUUAAAUUGCGACUUUGGUGUUGCAGAAAUGUUUCUGGAGCAUCUCUGAAAGGUUUUCUUGCACCGGAGUUGUAUCUAUUGUCUUCUUUGCAAGAACUGUACGGUUUUUCUCAAUUCUACCACAUUUACUUUUCAUUUUCUGAGAACAUGUAAAUGGAGGUUAAUAUUCGAUGCUGGUGAUUUCUAGAAUUCUGCAUAGCAAUUCACUGAUUGGUACAAUACCAAAAGAGUUUGGCUUGUUGAAAAAUCUCAAGGUCCUAGAUUUGGGUGCAAACCAGCUUACAGGACCAAUUCCUCCAGAGAUUGGAAAGUUAUCCAGCAUUGUGAAAAUGUCAGUACAUGUGUAGCAUUAGAAACUCAGCUUUGUUAUCUUAUUUGUGUUUGGACUUCUGCUUAACAAUUGAAGUCUUCUUGUGCUUUAUGCAGAAAUCUUCAAUCGAAUGGGUUGACAGGGAGGUUGCCUCCAGAGCUUGGUAGUCUGAAAUACCUCGAGGAACUUCGACUUGAUAGGAAUAGGCUCCAGGGAACUGUCCCUGCCAGUAAUGGCUCAGAUUUUGCUGAUGAUUUACAUGGAAUGUUAGUGGAAUAAAAUUUAUGAAUCCUUUCCUGUUCUUUGUUUCUUUUUUUUUUUGGUGGGGGGGGGGGGGUGGGGCGUCUUUUGCUUAGUGAAUGUAUCCUACAUAACGUCAAUUUUUGUUUAUUUUUCAACUCAAUCUUUUUUUUUUCUUGCAAUAUAGGAUUUUCUUUAAGGACAGUAACUUUGUUUGCUUAAUAAUUUGUCAGCUUCUUUUUUGCUUAGUAACUUAGUUUUCUUUGCCAUUCUUUUGAAGUAGAACCAAAACUUCUUUUUACACUUUUAAUGAGCAUUGUUUGUAUAGUUCCAUAGCUAAUUUUGGCAAACCGGAUAUAUGAUAUUGAGUACCUCAAUCCAAUUGCAGCCAAAAGCUCAUUUUUAGUCUUACUUUGAAGUUAUUGUGUGUUUUGUGACUUUUGUCAUUUUAAAUUUAUCUAUGUUGGAUUUUUUUUUUUUUUUUGGUUCCUAAAGAGCCCCUUUUUACUGUCUAUCAGGUAUGUCUCCAGUAUGCAGCCAACAGGUUUGUGCCUCUCAUCUCAACUAAAAUUUGUAGAUCUUUCGUACAACUUCUUCAUUGGAAGCAUACCAAAGUGCUUGGAAUAUCUUCCAAGGUAGUGUUUCCCCUGUUUGCUGUUUAGCGUUUCUUUUCCUGUCUUCUUUGCUAAUUCUUUCUGCAUGAUGUGUUUAUAUUCUUCUGCAGGUCAAGCUUUCAAGGAAAUUGUCUGGAUGAUAAAGAUCCUAAGCAGCGCUCUGCAGUACAGUGUGGUAUAUGUCAUAUCCUGUGUGUUUUUCAUGUAAAGCAGCGCUGCUAGAGCCAAGACUUGGAGAUCUUCUCUUAAAUACCUUCAGUUUAAAAACAAAAUUUAAUAGACCAAAUAGUUUAUAUCUUUUUGAAGUGCCUACUUUGGCUCUGGGUGAAUAUAGAUUGAUGUUUGCUUUAUAAUUGCUUUCAAGUUCAAUCAUCUUAAACUAUUAUUGUAAUUUUUUUCUUGGUAAAUUUUCAGAAAACCGUAUCAAAAUGGCCCUCAAGUCACCUGUUUUCAGCAUCUUUGUUAGUACCAACUUUCUUGUUUUUUGACUUCAGUUACAGGUGGUGCUCCAACACCAAAAAGCCAUCCAGUAGCCAAUAGCAGGCACCAUCCUGUUGAACAUAAUUCCAAGCAUCAGACCAGUACUUCAAGACCUGCCUGGCUUUUAGCCCUGGAAAUACUAACUGGCGUGAUGGUUGGUGCUCUCUUACUCGUGGUUCUUGUCUCUGCACUUCAUAAGUGGCAAAACAGACCCUCCAUAAUUAUCCCAUGGAAGAAAUCAGCUAGUGGAAAGGAUUAUACAGCCAUUUUCAUAGGUUAGUGUACAUCUGCUGUUUUUGCGAUUUGAUUUGAAGACCAUUUAUCAGCUUUUAGUGAUAUUUGAUGUGGUGCAUUUAUCCAUAGCUCAAUUUACAUUAUCAUUUUAUUGAAAUGAUUUUACAGAUCCUGAAUCGCUGAGAGGUGUAACAAAGUUAAGCAGACAAGAACUGGAAGUAGCUUGUGAAGAUUUUAGUAACAUUAUUGGAUCCUCUUCAGAUAGCCAAGUCUAUAAAGGAAACAUGAAAGGUGGACCUGAAAUUGCUGUUAUAUCCCUUUGCGUCAAAGAAGAGCAUUGGACGGGCUAUCUAGAGCUUUAUUUCCAAAAAGAGGUCAAAACAUAUUGUGCCCUUCACAUUUAGCUUGGAGGAUUUGAAAUUUGUUUAUUUUUGUUGUGCCAUAAGGAUUUGAUGUUAUGGAUUCAGGUGGCAGAUUUGGCAAGAUUAAAUCAUGAGCACACAGGGAAAUUACUGGGGUACUGUCGGGAGAGCAGUCCUUUCACAAGAAUGCUGGUCUUCGAGUAUGCAUCAAAUGGGACCUUGUAUGAGCACCUCCAUUGUAAGGAAAUCAUUGUUGUCUGUCUCCCUUUUCUCAAAUUUGUGAGAUUUAAUCAUUUCCAAACAUGUUCCAUUUGCUGAAUCUCACUGCUUUUUACUCUGUAGAUGGCGAAGGUUGCCAACUAUCUUGGACACGGCGAAUGAGAAUUGUUAUUGGCAUUGCCAAGGGACUAAAGUAUCUGCAUACAGAACUUCAUCCACCAUUUACCAUAUCAGAAUUGAAUUCUAGUGCAGUAUACUUGACAGAUGAUUUUUCUCCCAAGGUAAAUCCUGAGGCUUACAUCACCUACUAACCAAAAGAACUUGCCUUAGGGUUUGUCUGUUUCACAGACUUCAAGAUUGAGCAUCAAUGGCUAAAUCUCUCUUCCCAAUUAAAGCCAUAAAUUUCAUAUAAAUGUAAGAUUGUUCAAUAUGGUAUUUAAGUAAGGCAGUGGAUACAGUUAUUACCCUGAUCUUGUGAAGAUUAAUGAGUUCUGGCACCUCCCAGCUGGGAAUAGUAGGUGCCAGCUGGGAAUAGUAGGUGCCUUGUAAAAUGUCUGGCAUACUCGCAUGCACAUCAAAAUUCUGCCGCUAUUGAUUAUUGCUUUCUGAAUAAUCUUCCUGAAAAAACUGCUGCAGCUGGUUGAUUUUGAAAGCUGGAAGUCAAUCCAUUCUAGAUCGGAAAAGAAUUCUGGCAGCAUCAGCAAUGAAGGCGCAAUUUGCGUCCUUCCAAAUGGUUUAGAGGCAAGGCAUCUGGAUAUACAUGGAAACAUUUAUGCUUUUGGAAUCCUUCUUCUGGAAAUCGUGAGCGGGAGACCUCCCUACUGUGAGGACAAGGGAUGCUUGGUGGAUUGGGUAAGAACCCGAUGUUUGAAUUUUCCCCCUCUGGCCCUGGUUUCGUAAAUAAUGCAUGGAUCUGUAAAUGGAGAACAAAUAUUUGCCAUGAGUUUUAUGUUUCCUUUUGCCUGUGCAGGCCAAAGAGUAUCUUGAGAUGCCAGAAGUAAUGUCUUAUGUGGUGGAUCCUGAGUUAAAACAUUUCAGAUAUGAAGACCUUAAAGUGAUAUGCGAUGUUGUCAACAUCUGCAUCCAGUCAAGUUCUAACAGUAGAACAUCCAUGCAAGACUUGUGUGCUAUGCUGGAAAGUGGCAUUGACACCUCCGUAUCUGCAGAGAUGAGGGCAUCUUCCUUGGCAUGGGCUGAGCUUGCGCUUUCAUCAUAACUAAUAGGAAGCUGACACUGUAAAUCUGAAUAUAGACUUUAUAGUUUGCCUUUUACCUUCAAUUUUUCCCUCCUUUUUUUUUCCUUCUUGCUAGUUCUUUUAUAGAUUUGAGUGAAGUCAUGCACAUGCGUGCUAUAAGGACAGACAGUCUCACAUAUGACUAAUAUCAAUUAAUUGUAUACCGUUGGUCGGUUAGAGAUUUUGAUGUCAAAUAGUAGAUGAAACCCAUGUUGCAGAAGAUACUUCACUUCUCGAUAAUUGUCAACACUUUUCAACCUUUUUAUGGAGCCAUCGCAAUUCAGUCAGUACUAGGUUAUAUGGCCUUGAAAUGCUACCGGGCAAUAAUUUACAGAAGGAACUUCAGAACACCGGAUCAUUAUCGGAUUAUGUACCAAAUGCUGGCUUUCAGUUGACAGUGAGCAAUGUCAUGCGUGCUAUAAGUUCCAUUACCGCAUGAUGAACAUGUCCCUCUGCUUGUUAGUUACAAGGAGGAGGGACUAGCAAGGAUCAAACCUACGUACAUGGACACGCCUUUAGAACAAAAAAACUGAAGCAACCUUAAAUUGAUGAAAAAUUGAAACCACAUUACAAGCCCCACUUGUACAUACACCUCGUACUCUGCAAUCAAAGGACUAUACUAAGCCCGUGGGAAAAAUUUUGCUGGUGGAUGACAUGCAAAUGAAUUCCACACACAGUCCCACAAAGCUUGAGAGGCCAUCGGCACUAAAUAAUACCCAAAAAGCCCGUAGAUCACAUCUUUAACUCAUUAAAACCCU